UCUAAUAUGACAAGAAAUAAUGUGAUGAACUUAAAAUUCAUUUAUAAAGAAUAAUCUUUUUUUAGAA
rnacentral:tRNA from 1 species